AGGAGCGACCAUACCAGCACUAAUGCAUUAGAUCCCAUCAGAACUUCGAAGUUAAGCGUGCUUGGGCGAGAAUGGUACAAAGACGAACUUUGUCGCAGGAC
rnacentral:rRNA from 1 species